rnacentral:misc_RNA from 1 species
GAUGAAGAACGCAGCGAAAUGCGAUAAGUAAUGUGAAUUGCAGAAUUCAGUGAAUCAUCGAAUCUUUGAACGCACAUUGCGCCCGCCAGUAUUCUGGCGGGCAUGCCUGUCCGAGCGUCAUUUCAACCCUCGGGCCCCCCUCUGCGGGCGGCCCGGCGUUGGGGCUCAGGCGCCGUCUCUGCUCGGCGCCUGUCCCCUAAAUGCAGUGGCGGCCUCGCCGCUGCCUCCUCCGCGUAGUAGCACAAACCUCGCGGCUGGAAGGCGGCGCGGCCACGCCGGAAAACCCCCCAACUUUACCAAGGUUGACCUCGGAUCAGGUAGGAAUACCCGCUGAACUUAAGCAUAUCAAUAAGCGGAGGA